CCUACGGGAGGCAGCAGUAGGGAAUCUUCCACAAUGGGCGAAAGCCUGAUGGAGCAACGCCGCGUGGGUGAAGAAGGUCUUCGGAGCGUAAAACCCUGUUGGUAGAGAAGAAAGUGCGGGAGAGUAACUGUUCACGUGUCGACGGUAUCUAACCAGAAAGCCACGGCUAACUCCGUGCCAGCAGCCGCGGUAAUACGUAGGUGGCAAGCGUUAUCCGGAUUUAUUGGGCGUAAAGGGAACGAAGGCGGUCUGUUAAGUCUGAGGUGAAAGCCUUCGGCUUAACCGGAGUAGUGCAUUGGAAACUGGGAGACUUGAGUGCAGAAGAGGCGAGUGGAACUCCAUUUGUAGCGGUGAACUCCGUAGAUAUCUGUAAGAACCCCAGUGGCGAACGCGGCUCUCUGGUCUGUAACUGACGCUGAGGUUCGACAGCGUGGGUAGCAAACAGGAUUAGAUACCCGAGUAGUC
rnacentral:rRNA from 1 species